GGUUAAGCGACUAAGCGUACACGGUGGAUGCCCUGGCAGUCAGAGGCGAUGAAGGACGUGCUAAUCUGCGAUAAGCGUCGGUAAGGUGAUAUGAACCGUUAUAACCGGCGAUUUCCGAAUGGGGAAACCCAGUGUGAUUCGUCACACUAUCAUUAACUGAAUCCAUAGGUUAAUGAGGCGAACCGGGGGAACUGAAACAUCUAAGUACCCCGAGGAAAAGAAAUCAACCGAGAUUCCCCCAGUAGCGGCGAGCGAACGGGGAGCAGCCCAGAGCCUGAAUCAGUGUGUGUGUUAGUGGAAGCGUCUGGAAAGGCGCGCGAUACAGGGUGACAGCCCCGUACACAAAAAUGCACAUGCUGUGAGCUCGAUGAGUAGGGCGGGACACGUGGUAUCCUGUCUGAAUAUGGGGGGACCAUCCUCCAAGGCUAAAUACUCCUGACUGACCGAUAGUGAACCAGUACCGUGAGGGAAAGGCGAAAAGAACCCCGGCGAGGGGAGUGAAAAAGAACCUGAAACCGUGUACGUACAAGCAGUGGGAGCACGCUUCGGCGUGUGACUGCGUACCUUUUGUAUAAUGGGUCAGCGACUUAUAUUCUGUAGCAAGGUUAACCGAAUAGGGGAGCCGAAGGGAAACCGAGUCUUAACUGGGCGUUAAGUUGCAGGGUAUAGACCCGAAACCCGGUGAUCUAGCCAUGGGCAGGUUGAAGGUUGGGUAACACUAACUGGAGGACCGAACCGACUAAUGUUGAAAAAUUAGCGGAUGACUUGUGGCUGGGGGUGAAAGGCCAAUCAAACCGGGAGAUAGCUGGUUCUCCCCGAAAGCUAUUUAGGUAGCGCCUCGUGAAUUCAUCUCCGGGGGUAGAGCACUGUUUCGGCAAGGGGGUCAUCCCGACUUACCAACCCGAUGCAAACUGCGAAUACCGGAGAAUGUUAUCACGGGAGACACACGGCGGGUGCUAACGUCCGUCGUGAAGAGGGAAACAACCCAGACCGCCAGCUAAGGUCCCAAAGUCAUGGUUAAGUGGGAAACGAUGUGGGAAGGCCCAGACAGCCAGGAUGUUGGCUUAGAAGCAGCCAUCAUUUAAAGAAAGCGUAAUAGCUCACUGGUCGAGUCGGCCUGCGCGGAAGAUGUAACGGGGCUAAACCAUGCACCGAAGCUGCGGCAGCGACGCUUAUGCGUUGUUGGGUAGGGGAGCGUUCUGUAAGCCUGUGAAGGUGUGCUGUGAGGCAUGCUGGAGGUAUCAGAAGUGCGAAUGCUGACAUAAGUAACGAUAAAGCGGGUGAAAAGCCCGCUCGCCGGAAGACCAAGGGUUCCUGUCCAACGUUAAUCGGGGCAGGGUGAGUCGACCCCUAAGGCGAGGCCGAAAGGCGUAGUCGAUGGGAAACAGGUUAAUAUUCCUGUACUUGGUGUUACUGCGAAGGGGGGACGGAGAAGGCUAUGUUGGCCGGGCGACGGUUGUCCCGGUUUAAGCGUGUAGGCUGGUUUUCCAGGCAAAUCCGGAAAAUCAAGGCUGAGGCGUGAUGACGAGGCACUACGGUGCUGAAGCAACAAAUGCCCUGCUUCCAGGAAAAGCCUCUAAGCAUCAGGUAACAUCAAAUCGUACCCCAAACCGACACAGGUGGUCAGGUAGAGAAUACCAAGGCGCUUGAGAGAACUCGGGUGAAGGAACUAGGCAAAAUGGUGCCGUAACUUCGGGAGAAGGCACGCUGAUAUGUAGGUGAAGCGACUUGCUCGUGGAGCUGAAAUCAGUCGAAGAUACCAGCUGGCUGCAACUGUUUAUUAAAAACACAGCACUGUGCAAACACGAAAGUGGACGUAUACGGUGUGACGCCUGCCCGGUGCCGGAAGGUUAAUUGAUGGGGUUAGCGGUAACGCGAAGCUCUUGAUCGAAGCCCCGGUAAACGGCGGCCGUAACUAUAACGGUCCUAAGGUAGCGAAAUUCCUUGUCGGGUAAGUUCCGACCUGCACGAAUGGCGUAAUGAUGGCCAGGCUGUCUCCACCCGAGACUCAGUGAAAUUGAACUC
rnacentral:rRNA from 1 species